AUUACUGGUCUUUAAAUCUCUAUGGAUAAUGGCAGGAACACAGCCUGUAUGGAGAUAUUCAAUUCCUUUGGCAACUCCAAGAGCAAUAUCUUGCAGCCUUUUCCAUCCAAGAAAAUGGUUCUUGGCAUCUGCUGAAGAUAUAAAUUUUGCUAGUGAUUCAUUUGGUAAGUACUCAUAAAGUAGAGCUCGCCUGAAUCCAUCAGCACAAAAGCCAAUCAAACGAACAACAUUGACAUGGUGGAUCUUUCCUAUUAUUCCAACUUCAUUUACAAAUUCCUCUCCAUUACCCUUGGAAUUGUUGAGGACCUUAACGGCUACCAUAAUUUCUUCAGAAAGCUUCCCUUUAUAGACAGUUCCAUAAGCUCCUUGGCCUAGUUCUUCCUUGAAUUGAUUUGUGAUCCUCUUAAUAUCAGUAUAGGAAUAUCUUGAAGGUUUGAAAGCAUUGUAGUCAUCCAAAAACUUUUCAAUCUUGGACUGAUAUUCCUUUUCUUUUUUGUUGAAGCCAUACACAUAGAAAAGUGCAGUCACUGAUACCGCUAGAAGAAACAGGGCCAAAGCUAUGCCUGCAAAUUGAACAUUUCAAGUCAAGAAAUCCCAUGUCCAAAAAUAAACUUGGGAAUUUAAUUUAGAGGAGACUAACCUGUCGCCACAAACUUAUUUAGUGCCCCUGCAAAACGUUUUCAUAUUGCUAUUAGGUUGUAAUGUCCAGGAAAUUUAAAAAUAUCAAAUAAACCUUAGAAAUUUAGAAAAUCUUGACCACAAGUUCUACAACUUGAAGAUAUUCCUUGUAUCUUGUAUUACAUAAUCAAAUAGUUAUCUGCUAAAUUAUAUGUGAUGAUGCUAAUAAACGAGCAAUCUAUGUGCUGAAAGAGGAACUCUACCCAGAUCAUGUGUAGAAAAGAUUACUGAUUCCAUGAUUUUAAAGCUAUAUUUUAAAAGUGCUACAUUAACAGAAAACUUACCCUUUUUUUGGAGCUUGCCAUAGCAUUCAAUAGCAGGUUGAGUGCUGUUAGGCUUCAAUCUGCAAUAUUUGUAAUGUGCUUCACAAGAGUUACAACUCGGAAAUGACCAGUUCAAACGGACAACCCUAAUAUCCAAGUCACAUACUAGAAAUGGAAGAUUAAUAAUUUCAUACAUCUUGGUACAAUUAUAUAUUUUAUUGAUAUCGUCUCCCGAAUUUGAUGGAUUGGAAUAAACAUAGUAGUUGGGAGAACUUUGGCAAGAAAUCUGUGUUGCCGAAGACCAUUGUGUUCUCUUUAAACAGUGAAAAAUUGUGCAAUUCUCCCAGUAAUCAAAUUGAUGAUGAAACCGAAAGGAAGAGACAGAUAAAUUGAUUUUGGGAAGCUGUUUUGGAAAACAACCUUGUGGAUCACUUGCAGAAAUCACUUGAGAAAAAUAAUCUAUCUUAUUGAUCGAGAGUUUCACUGAAUUUGGCAACUCCAGUAGUGUCUCCUUCCUCUCGGAGCAUGAAAGAUGAAACCCAUCUUCAGGAUAGCCACAGUGGUCAGGUUGGUGGCCUUUGAUUCGGAACGGGAAUCGAACGGCUGGACCAUGGCUCCCACAUUUGGAUUCCUUGCACUCAUUCUCAAAAAUGCCUAAUCCAUCGUCUACAAGAACAAUUAGCAUGAAGCAGAUGGAAAACAUUCUGAAGAAUAAAUUCAUCAUGGGCUUCCGUUAUCUGUAGUGUAUAUGGUUGCAGGACUGUACCUCUGCGUUGCCUGCUAUAAUACCAUAUGCAAAUCUUUACUAGGCUCCAGGGCAGAAUAACUGGUUCAAACCUUUGGAUCGGAUCCAAGAUUAUAGAUAAGUUUCUUUUAA
rnacentral:misc_RNA from 1 species